rnacentral:rRNA from 1 species
UACAGAGGGUGCAAGCGUUAAUCGGAAUUACUGGGCGUAAAGCGUGCGUAGACGGUUAUGUAAGUCGGGUGUGAAAGCCCCGGGCUCAACCUGGGAAUGCCAUUCGAGACUGCAUAGCUAGGGUGCGGAAGAGGGAAGCGGAAUUUCCGGUGUAGCGGUGAAAUGCGUAGAUAUCUGGAGGAACACCGGUGGCGAAGGCGGCAUCCUGGACCAACACUGACACUGAGGAGCGAAAGCCAGGGGAGCAAACGGG